rnacentral:rRNA from 1 species
GUGCCAGCAGCCGGCGGUAAUUGGGAGGGUGCAAGCGUUAUUGGGAUUUCUGGGGAUAAAGGGCACGCAGGCGGUUUGUUAAGUCAGAUGUGAAAUCCCCGGGCUCAACCUGGGAACUGCAUCUGAUACUGGCAAGCUUGAGUCUCGUAGAGGGGGGUAGAAUUNCAGGUGUAGCGGUGAAAUGCGUAGAGAUCUGGAGGAAUACCGGUGGCGAAGGCGGCCCCCUGGACGAAGACUGACGCUCAGGUGCGAAAGCGUGGGGAGCAAACAGGAUUAGAUACCCUGGUAGUCC